rnacentral:rRNA from 1 species
AUACGUAGGGGGCGAGCGUUGUCCGGAAUUACUGGGCGUAAAGGGUGCGUAGGCGGAAUGUCAAGUCAGAUGUGAAAUACCCGGGCUUAACCCGGGGGCUGCAUUUGAAACUGACAUCCUUGAGUGCAGGAGAGGCAAGUGGAAUUCCUAGUGUAGCGGUGAAAUGCGUAGAUAUUAGGAGGAACACCGUUGGCGAAGGCGAUUUGCCGAACUGUACUUGGCACUGAUGCACUCAACCGUCGGCAGGAAACAGGAUUACAUCCCCGGGUAGUCCACGCCGUAAACGAAGUAAACUAGGUGUGUGGUCCGAUAGGAUUCCGUGCCGCAGCAAACACAAUAAGUAGCCCGCCUGGGGAGUACGGUCGCAAGGUUGAAACUCAAAUGAAUUGACGGGG